CGCUAUCAUCCUACGGGAGGCAGCAGUGGGGAAUAUUGCACAAUGGGCGCAAGCCUGAUGCAGCCAUGCCGCGUGUAUGAAGAAGGCCUUCGGGUUGUAAAGUACUUUCAGCAGUGAGGAAGGCGGGUACGUUAAUAGCGUGCUUGUUUGACGUUAGCUGCAGAAGAAGCACCGGCUAACUCCGUGCCAGCAGCCGCGGUAAUACGGAGGGUGCGAGCGUUAAUCGGAAUUACUGGGCGUAAAGCGCAUGCAGGUGGUUUGUUAAGUCAGAUGUGAAAGCCCGGGGCUCAACCUCGGAAUUGCAUUUGAAACUGGCAGACUAGAGUACUGUAGAGGGGGUAGAAUUUCAGGUGUAGCGGUGAAAUGCGUAGAGAUCUGAAGGAAUACCAGUGGCGAAGGCGGCCCCCUGGACAGAUACUGACACUCAGAUGCGAAAGCGUGGGGAGCAAACAGGAUUAGAUACCCUGGUAG
rnacentral:rRNA from 1 species